rnacentral:piRNA from 1 species
UCAGAUAGGUGUGAUGGUUAAUACUGAGU